GAGUUUGAUCAUGGCUCAGAUUGAACGCUGGCGGCAUGCCUUACACAUGCAAGUCGAACGGCAGCACGGGAGCUUGCUCCUGGUGGCGAGUGGCGAACGGGUGAGUAAUGCAUCGGAACGUAUCCUGGAGUGGGGGAUAACGUAGCGAAAGUUACGCUAAUACCGCAUAUUCUGUGAGCAGGAAAGCGGGGGACCUUCGGGCCUCGCGCUCUUGGAGCGGCCGAUGUCGGAUUAGCUAGUUGGUGAGGUAAAGGCUCACCAAGGCGACGAUCCGUAGCAGGUCUGAGAGGAUGAUCUGCCACACUGGAACUGAGACACGGUCCAGACUCCUACGGAGGCAGCAGUGGGGAAUUUUGGACAAUGGGGGCAACCCUGAUCCAGCCAUGCCGCGUGAGUGAAGAAGGCCUC
rnacentral:rRNA from 1 species